UAAAAUGAAGUUAAUGUAAUGUUCACAAACAGUACAGUUAAUGAGUUUUUCCAUUAACAAGAAUUUCUUAAAAUAAUAAUGUAUGGAUAUCAUUUGGAAAGUGACAUGAAAUGUUGUUAAAAAGUGAUGCAUACAAGUGUUUCAGAAGUCUGUCUAGGAAUAGAACAACAACUGAAGCUGACCAGUUGAUGGAAGAUACUGCAGAGUUUGGCAGGGAAAUAACCCAAGACAGCAAAGCGGCUCAGACUUUUGGCGCAUUUACCAAGAGGACUAACAUGGCCACAAAUUCAUGAGAUCAUGCAGGAGCCGUACAGUAUAACAGCAGUACUAGUUCUAUAAAAGAUCCACGACCUACUGAAGCCCAACUAAUUAACAAAAAAGUUUUUAAAAACUGUAAUUUUAUCCCACCUGGGUACUUAUAAUUUACUAAGCUGCCUACACAAGUUUUAGACUUGCAAUUAUAUUUUAAACUGUCAUUUGGAAAGUAAUACAUGUACAUGCAUUAUGUUCUGAAUUUCUUUGAACAAUAAAAUUAUAUAUAAGUAUUUUAAUGAAAUUGAGCACCUAAAUUGCAUUAAAGUGAAAGUAGCUGAGAAAAAUAGUAUCCUUGUGCUCAUGGGCAGCUACAUAUAUUGUGACAAACAUGAAGUAGCUAAAAUAACUUAAAUUUUUUCAUUUGUUUCUUGUAUAUCGUUUGUACAGGGUUCGUGAAUUGUUACUGUAUAUUACUUGACUUGCUUGUAUUUUGUUACUUUAAAUACAUGUUGUUAAGGUUGCAUUAUACUUUUUAACUUUUAAAGUAGCGCCUGUUCUGUUAUGUAAGGGCCUGAUUUAUGAUAAUGGACCUAGAGGCUUUGUAAGCAUGUAUUAAACAACACUUGUUUGAUCUGAAUAAUUUGUUAAAUAAAUGUAACACAAUUUGUAAUCUGAUGUUAUAUUUUGAUGAAUUGUGAACAAAAUAAUACAUCGAAGAAACUAA